rnacentral:rRNA from 1 species
GAUGAACGCUAGCUACAGGCUUAACACAUGCAAGUCGAGGGGAAACGAUAGAGAAAGCUUGCUUUAUCUAGGCGUCGACCGGCGCACGGGUGAGUAACGCGUAUCCAACCUGCCCACCACUCGGGGAUACCCUUGCGACAGAAAGACUAACACCCAAUGAUAUCUCUAGAAGACAUCUGAAAGAGAUUAAAGAUUUAGCGGUGAUGGAUCGGGGUGCGGCUGAUUAGCUUGUGGGCGGGGUAACUGCCCAGCAAGGCGACGGUCAGUAGGGGUGCUGAGAGGAAGGCCCGCCACAUGGGAAAUGAGACACGGUCCAAACUCGUACGGGAGGCAGCAGUGAGGAAUAUUGGUCAAUGGGCGAGAGCCUGAACCAGCCAAGUAGCGUGCAGGAUGACGGCCCUAUGGGUUGUAAACUGCUUUUACAAGGGAAUAAAGUGAGUCUCGUGAGACUUUUUGCAUGUACCUUAUGAAUAAGGACCGGCUAAUUCCGUGCCAGCCGCCGCAGUAA